GUGGCAAGCGUUGUCCGGAUUUAUUGGGCGUAAAGCGAGUGCAGGCGGUUCAAUAAGUUUUAUGUUGAAACCUUCGGCUCCACCGGAGAAUUUCAUCAGAAACUGUUGAACUUGAGUGCAGAAGAGGAGAGUGGAACUCCAUGUGUAGCGGUGGAAUGCGUAGAUAUAUGGAAGAACACCAGUGGCGAAGGCGGCUCUCUGGUCUGCAACUGACGCUGAGGCUCGAAAGCAUGGGUAGCGAACA
rnacentral:rRNA from 1 species